UACAGAGGGUGCAAGCGUUAAUCGGAAUUACUGGGCGUAAAGCGUGCGCAGGCGGUUUUGUAAGACAGAGGUGAAAUCCCCGGGCUCAACCUGGGAACUGCCUUUGUGACUGCAAGGCUUGAGUGCGGCAGAGGGGGAUGGAAUUCCGCGUGUAGCAGUGAAAUGCGUAGAUAUGCGGAGGAACACCGAUGGCGAAGGCAAUCCCCUGGGCCUGCACUGACGCUCAUGCACGAAAGCGUGGGGAGCAAACAGG
rnacentral:rRNA from 1 species